GACGAACCGUGCGAACGUUGUUCGGAUUCACUGGGCUUAAAGGGCGCGUAGGCGGCUCGCCAAGUCAGGGGUGAAAUCUCCCGGCUCAACCGGGAAACAGCUUCUGAUACUGGCGGGCUGGAGGGAGGUAGGGGCGGAUGGAACUUCCGGUGGAGCGGUGAAAUGCGUAGAGAUCGGAAAGAACACCAACGGCGAAAGCACUCUGCUGGGCCGACACUGACACUGAGAGACGAAAGCUAGGGGAGCGAACGGG
rnacentral:rRNA from 1 species